rnacentral:rRNA from 1 species
AUCAGCCUUUUGGGUGUGAUUAUGUGGAGCGUGAGGAGUUAAACGCCUUCAUGCCUGCAUAUUCGUGCACUUUGGGUGUACUUGCCCGUGUGGUUGGUUAACAUCAAUUUUGGUUAUCAAAAAAUGACUGGAGGAAUGUAGCUUCGAUCUCGUAUUGAGGUGUUAUAGCCUUCGGUAGAUGUGAUGAUCGAGAUUGAGGAUUGCAACGGAUACCCUUCGGGGCUACCUGUCUGGUCUCUGAUCGUUGCUCUGGUGCCGAAAGCUUGCUUACGGUUAUCAAAGUCGAUGGUCAAUAGGUUAGAACGGGUUAAAUUCGUUAAGGAUGUUGACGUAAUGGCUUU